AAAAUGCGAUACCUGGUGUGAAUUGCAGAAUCCCGCGAACCAUCGAGUUUUUGAACGCAAGUUGCGCCCGAGGCCUUCCGGCCGAGGGCACGUCUGCCUGGGCGUCACGCCAACAGACACUCCCAACCCACCCUCGGGGAGGGAUGUGGUUUUUGGCUCCCCGUGCCGCAUGGCGCGGUGGGCCGAAGUUGGGGCUGCCGGCGAUUCGUGUCGGGCACAGCACGUGGUGGGCGACACUUAGUUGUUCUCGGUGCAGCGCCCCGACACGUGGCCGGUGCAUCGGCCCUAAGGACCCUUCGGGCACCGCAGCACAUCGUUGCUCGGACCGCGACCCCAGGUCAGUCGGGACCACCCGCUGAGUUUAA
rnacentral:misc_RNA from 1 species